UACGUAGGCAGCAAGCGUUUGUUCGGAGUUACUGGGCGUAAAGGGUGUGUAGGCGGCUUCGUAAGUUCGGUGUGAAAUCUCCUGGCUUAACUGGGAGGGUGCGCCGAAAACUGCGGAGCUGGAGCGCAGGAGAGGAAAGCAGAAUUCCUGGUGUAGCGGUGAAAUGCGUAGAUAUCAGGAGGAAUACCGGUGGUGAAGGCGGCUUUCUGGACUGCUGCUGACGCUGAUACACGAAAGCGUGGGGAGCAAACAGG
rnacentral:rRNA from 1 species